GUGAAUCAUCGAAUUUUUGAACGCAAAUUGCACUCUCUGCUGAGAGUAUGACUGUUUGAGGGUCAGUAUUAAUAAAAAUCGGUGUGUUGCUUCUUGGUGACGCUCCGGAGGUUGGGUCAUCUUAAUAUCCUUUAGGUUUUAAGUGGCUAAAAAUGGACCUGUUUGGCGCAUUUUAGAUGAUCGUUACUUCUUUUUUUUAUUCGCCUGGCUUAAUGCUUAAAAUCCUAUUAGCUGCGACCAUAUCGUA
rnacentral:misc_RNA from 1 species